rnacentral:rRNA from 1 species
ACCAAAUUCUCAACGAUGGAUAUCUUGGUUCCCAUAACGAUGAAGAACGCAGCGAAGUGCGAUAAGCAAUGCGAAUUGCAGAACCGUGAGUCAUCAGAUUUUUGAACGCAAUUGGCGUCGGUUGGCUCUCCAAUCGGCAUGCUUGUUUCAGUG